rnacentral:rRNA from 1 species
UGCAUGUCUCAGUAUAAGCUUCUAUACGGUGAAACUGCGAAUGGCUCAUUAAAACAGUUACAGUUUAUUUGAUGGUCAUUCCUUACAUGGAUAACCGUGGUAAUUCUAGAGCUAAUACAUGCGCCCAAACCCGACUCCGUGGAAGGGUUGUGUUUAUUAGUUACAGAACCAACCCAGGCUCUGCCUGGUCUUGUGGUGAUUCAUAAUAACCGAACGAAUCGCAUGGCAUCAGCUGGCGAUGAAUCAUUCAAGUUUCUGACCUAUCAGCUUCCGACGGUAGGGUAUUGGCCUACCGUGGCAAUGACAGGUAACGGAGAAUUAGGGUUCGAUUCCGGAGAGGGAGCCUGAGAAACGGCUACCACAUCUAAGGAAGGCAGCAGGCGCGCAAAGUACCCAAUCCUGACACAGGGAGGUAGUGACAAGAAAUAACAAUACAGGGCAUCCAUGUCUUGUAAUUGGAAUGAGUAGAAUUUAAAUCCCUUUAUGAGUAUCGAUUGGAGGGCAAGUCUGGUGCCAGCAGCCGCGGUAAUUCCAGCUCCAAUAGCGUAUAUUAAAGUUGUUGCGGUUAAAAAGCUCGUAGUUGGAUUUCUGCCGAGGACGACCGGUCCGCCCACUGGGUGUGUAUCUGGCUCGGCCUGGGCAUCUUCUUGGAGAACGUAGCUGCACUUGAUUGUGUGGUGCGGUAUCCAGGACUUUUACUUUGAGGAAAUUAGAGUGUUUCAAGCAGGCACACGCCUUGAAUACAUUAGCAUGGAAUAAUAAGAUAGGACCUUGGUUCUAUUUUGUUGGUUUCUAGAACUGAGGUAAUGAUUAAUAGGGAUAGUU